GGUUGGUUAGUUAAAUCAUUACCAGACAGAAUAGAAAUUACAUAUCUAUCAGUUACCUACAUGCUUACAAAGCUUUAUGAAAUAAAACCAAUGAAUAAUGCUAGAGUCUCAUAACCUGGAAGAGUAUACUGUAGAAAGGGAUACAUAGUUUUCUAGUGAAACAUAAAAUAUUUUUCUGUACUAUUAUUGUCCAUUUAUUUUUUUCUGUAUAUGAGGGGGCCUAGAAUUGUUCACUAAGUGGUCCUGAAAGCUGGUAUGCAUGAUUUACUUUCUUGGCAAACUUACAGCCACCUCCACUUUAUAGGUCUGUUUCCUGUAACCCUGACUAGGAGAUUUGGCCGUGUUUCCUCAGUGGGCCUUUUGGAUGCUUGAGGCUAGCACUACCCUCAGUGGAGAUGUACAGAGCAUGUUACAGAUGCUUUCUGUUCAUUCCUUUGUAGUCACCUCAGGGAGGCAGGAAACCAGGCCACUCAGUGGAAGCAUUGCUACUACUACAUAAGCUGCAAGGGCAUAAUGUCCUGUUGUUAUUAUCUGUGUUGGCUAGGCCUGUUGAAAUUUUUCCCACAGCCGCAUGAGAGAAAAGGGCACACAGAGAAAGGAACAGAAAGAGAAAAUCUUACUGGAGAAAACCAUGCCAAGCCUGAGAACAUUGAGUACCCAAGGCCAAGCUCAACAAGGGCAGAUAACUUUCCGGCAAGAAAUUAUCCCAUCUGUAACAAGGCCAGUCUCAUGGGCUACAGCUCACAAUUGGCAAGAAGAUAUUGUGGUGCCAUGACUCAGAUGAGAUCAGAUUCAUCACUGGGUCCCUAG
rnacentral:lncRNA from 1 species